GCCGGGGUGGCGAAACUGGUAGACGCAUCGGACUUAAAAUCCGUCGAGGCGUCAUGCCUCGUGCCGGUUCGAGCCCGGCCCCCGGCACCA
rnacentral:tRNA from 1 species